rnacentral:rRNA from 1 species
ACUCCUACGGGAGGCAGCAGUGGGGAAUAUUGCACAAUGGGCGCAAGCCUGAUGCAGCAACGCCGUGUGAGUGAAGAAGGUUUUCGGAUCGUAAAACUCUGUCCUAAGGGAAGAAACAAAUGACGGUACCUUAGGAGGAAGCCCCGGCUAACUACGUGCCAGCAGCCGCGGUAAUACGUAGGGGGCAAGCGUUAUCCGGAAUCACUGGGCGUAAAGGGUGCGUAGGCGGCUUAGCAAGCCAGGGGUGAAAGGCAUUGGCUCAACCAAUGUAAGCCUUUGGAACUGUUAAGCUUGAGUGCAGGAGAGGUAAUGGAAUUCCUAGUGUAGAGGUGAAAUUCGUAGAUAUUAGGAGGAACACCGAGUGGCGAAGGCGACUUACUGGACUGUAACUGACGCUGAUGCACGAAAGCGUGGGUAG